GAGGUGUUGGCUUAGUGGUCAGGGUCAACUGUCAUUUCCAAGAAAUGAAAAAGUCGAGGGUUCGAUUCCCUCUGGGUGCA